rnacentral:rRNA from 1 species
UACGAAGGGGGCUAGCGUUGCUCGGAAUCACUGGGCGUAAAGCGCACGUAGGCGGAUUCUAAGUCAGGGGUGAAAUCCUGGAGCUCAACUCCAGAACUGCCCUUGAUACUGGGCGUCUCGAGUCCGGGAGAGGUGAGUGGAACUGCGAGUGUAGAGGUGAAAUUCGUAGAUAUUCGCAAGAACACCAGUGGCGAAGGCGGCUCACUGGCC